UACGUAGGAUGCUAGCGUUGUCCGGAAUCACUGGGCGUAAAGGGUCCGUAGGCGGUCUGUUAAGUCUCCUGUGAAAGUUCAGGGCUCAACUCUGAAAUGUCGGGGGAUACUGGCAGACUUGAGACUGUCAGAGGCAGGUGGAAUUCCCGGUGUAGUGGUGAAAUGCGUAGAUAUCGGGAGGAACACCAGUGGCGAAAGCGGCCUGCUGGGACAGUUCUGACGCUGAGGGACGAAAGCGUGGGUAGCAAAC
rnacentral:rRNA from 1 species